rnacentral:misc_RNA from 1 species
AACGCACAUUGCGCCUAUUAGCAUUCUAGUAGGCAUGCCUGUCCGAGCGUCAUUUCAACCCCUCAGGGCGGUCUCGCCCUGGUGCUGGGGCCCCCCGGCCACUGGCCGCGGGCCCCGAAAGCUAUCGGCGGUGCCUGCCAGCACUCCGGGCGCAGUAGUUUACACCUCGCCUAGGACGUCUGGCGGCGCGCCCGCCCCUAAGCCCUCCCGGCAGCGGGAGACUUUCACAAGGUUGACCUCGGAUCAGGUAGGAAUACCCGCUGAACUUAA